GUGCUCGCUUUGGCAGCACAUAUACUAAAAUUGAAAUGAUACAGAGAAGAUUAGCAUGCCCCUGCACAGGGAUGACACACAAAUUUGCAAAGCAUUCCAUAUUUAU